GAGGAAAACAGGGUAAGAGCAAAAAGCAAUGUAGAGUCUACUAAGCCACAGCACAUUCAUAUCGUAAAGACUUCAAUUUUCUUGAUAAUUUAAAGCUUCAGAAUCGUUUUCCCCUGCAUUUCGCAGUUAAAAAUUGUACACUAUACAUGCAGAUAUCCUUGAACCAUGUCUCUUGCUAUUUGUAUCUUAGGGCUAAAAAAAAAAGCGCACUUACUUGCAUAUAGUUGAUACUAGAUAGCUAAACAGGCAUUACCAGUUUAGGAAAAAAAAGGAUCAUCACAAUUUACAUGCAAGGCACUUUCAUGGUUAAGUCAUUUUUUAAGAACAGAAACCUUGAAGAUGAAAGGCUUAUAGUGUCAAACUUAUAAACUUCACAUGCUCUGAAGCCCGCUCAAGUUGCAGCAACACUGAUUCUAAAAUCCUUUCGCCGCUGUAUUUCACAAUAGUCAUUGAUUCCAACAUUGGCGAAUGAGCAAGCAAAAGUUUUAUGAAUUCCAAUUCAGUUCUUGUCCCAACAAUGCCUCUAAUGUUUACUACUUUGAGUUGGUUGAGAUAGAAAUCAUAGAGGCACUGUGAUAUGACAAAAUCCAUAACAGGUUUAUGCACCUCAUCCAAAGUUUCCACCUACAAAGGAUAACAAGAUACAAGUCACCUUUGCAGUAUGCAUAUUCCCAUACAAACACAAACUUGCAUUAACUUGUUUUUUACGACUGUUGACCCAAAAAUUCACCAUUUAAAAAAUCCUAACAGCUGUUUUUUCAAAUAACUCACCGUGAUAAGAAGAUCUUUUAAAUUUGGAGAGCUUCUAAGUAUAGAAAUUAAAGACAUGACAUCCCUCAGACUAGUAAACCUUACUUCUCUUAUUUCAAGAGCUGAGAGGCAGUUGAGCAUGGUAGGGAGUCUUUGUGGGACAUCCUCAUUAGCUAGAAACUAGGAAAAACCAUGAAAAAUAUUACAUUAGAUAAUUUUAUUUAUUCUAAGCAUUUGACCAAAAUAUAUAAGUAAAAUGAAACGAAGUUUCAAGUAUAAAAAUGAUACCUCAAGAAAUUGACCAUACAAACAGAGCCUGUUUAUACCACCAAAACUGCCCAAAACUCUGAUUAAAUUGCAAACUUUCCCUUGCUCAGGACGCCAAGGUAUCGUCCAUCCAUACAUAGGAAUCAUGCGAAUAUCAACACUAACUAGAAGUGGAUUAUAUCCAAAACAGAUGUCUUCAAAUUUAGAAUCUAGUUUCAAGUAUUUUAGGUUUGGAUUAUGGAUCCUCACAAAAGCUAAAUGAUCGAUAUUCAACAGAGUUAAUCUCUCAAGAGCAGGGCAGUUGCAGAUUAAACUUUCAAGUGUAUCACUUACUAUAAAGACUUGACUAAGCUUGAGGCUUUUAAGGCAAUCAAAUCCUUUGAAAAAAGCAGGAAGCUUGAAUAUACAGCCAAAGAGCUCCAAGCAGCUGAGCUUUGGACAACAGAAAACACAAGAAGGCAGCUUAAAACGUUUUAUAAAACUGAAAUCCUGGAUAAUUAACUCCUUAAUACCUUUCUUUGUUAAAAAAGCUAUCCAUUGAUCAAAAUCAGAAUGGUUUGGACAGCAAUAAGCAGCAAGCUUAAACUUCUCUAUUGGACCACUGUGACUGGAUUGAACCUUAUUAAUGAUUUUCAUAAUCUCCAUCCAUCUGGCUGCCUUGUCUACCAUAGAACUAUGGAUGCAUUUAUCAUCAAAAACAAACUGAGAAAGGCCAGUCCACUUAUAUCUCCAUUUACUUGACAAGACACUAGUCCUUGCAGCCUCUCUUAGCGGCAGGUGCACAAGGAUGAUAUCUAAUACAUCCCAUGGUAGAUUACUGAUCCUAUCUAUCUUUGUUUGGUUUUCCAUCUCAAUAGACUUUUGAUGUUUCCUUGUAUUGUUCAUAGGUUCUUUGGCUGGAUUAAAAACUCUGUUUUCAACACAAUGCAGCAGAUUCUUCAGAGAGAGAACAUACCAACUCGAUCACAAAUGCUGAUCUUCUGUUUGAGAGGAAGUCAAGUCUAGUAUGAGGUCAUGUUUUGUCCCCAUUAUUUGUUUGGCUGAAAAUAAUUCUCUCACCCAAGAGCAUUUGCAAGUGAUAACUCUAGGAAAUGCUCAUUCUGUACAGGUAAGCUGGUAUCCAUUUACCCCUUUGAAAAUUACAAGCAACUCACCUGUAAGUUCCUGGAUAGAAGCUGGCGAUCGGAACGGCGAUCAUCAGCCGCUAGAGCUGGAGGAGCCGAGGAGUGUGUCUCUGACUGUUUGUGCUCGAGUGCGUGGACCCAAUCUGUAAAAAGGCUGGGGUUCUGGAUUUUGUUCAUUCAAUGCUUAAAAAAUAAUACAUAAAAUUGUAAUCUAUACACAAGCAGAAGGUAUUCAGCACAUGAUGCUCUUUUUUAUAUAAUUUUUACAUGUUUAAUAUGUAUGAUUUUUUUUAUUAUAUAUAAAUUGUAAGUUAAUAUGUAUGUUUUAGCAUUCAUUUCGUCUUUUAUAACAUUAUAAAUAUUGGACGAAAAGGGGGAAGACUGGUCCUCGUCAGCGGCGGUUGGUAUACCGCCUGUGGGCCCUCUAACGGAGGUAUUAGUGAAUUUCUUGUUCGAUGACUUCGAUCGAGAGUUUAUGCGCUCUUUUCUUGACGUUUCCUAUGCAAGGUUUCUCUACGAAACCUUUCUCUCUUUUCCACUGUCUGCCCCUUUGGAAGUCGACGAGAUUGAGGGUUUCUUUAUAAGCUAGAUUUUUUGGCCGAAAUCCUUGUUAUUGAACCGAGCGACACCCCGAUUCCAUGUUUUGUAGAAUUCGUCUGGGUGAAUCAUCAAGGGUUGAUCAACUUCAUGGAAAAAGGUUAGUUAAAGCGUGCAUCUGAUUUCAUGUUUUGGGGUUAUUUUGUGGUCCGGGUGCCGCAUUGUGUCGGCUGAAGACCGAAGGUCGACUUAACACUUAGUGUUUCAUGUCCAUGCCCCAUCGAGCCAUGUUAUUUGCCCCAUCGGGCCUUUACCACAGAGGGGAAAUUGAGUGUAUCUGUUAUUAGGACACCAAGGUCACUCCGCUUUGUGUACUUCAUGCCAGUCUUCGCCUCCGACCCGACCAGGAGUCAAGCCAAGCCUUUACCCGCCUGAAUUGAAUUAAUAUCUCCUUGCUGCCAACCCUAAUCAGCAAGCUUAAACCGGGGAACUGGACUGUGACUCUUCUA
rnacentral:misc_RNA from 1 species